GAUGAACGCUAGCGGGAGGCUUAACACAUGCAAGUCGAAGGGCAGCACGUCUUCGGAUGGUGGCGACUGGCGAACGGGUGCGUAACGCGUAUGCAACCUACCCUCAACAGGGGAAUAGCCCAGAGAAAUUUGGAUUAAUACCCCAUAGUAUUACAGAUUCGCAUGUUUCUGUGAUUAAAGUUCCAACGGUUGAGGAUGGGCAUGCGUGACAUUAGCUUGUUGGUGAGGUAACGGCUCACCAAGGCAACGAUGUCUAGGGGUUCUGAGAGGAUGAUCCCCCACACUGGUACUGAGACACGGACCAGACUCCUACGGGAGGCAGCAGUGAGGAAUAUUGGACAAUGGAGGCAACUCUGAUCCAGCCAUCCCGCGUGCAGGAAGAAGGCCCUAUGGGUUGUAAACUGCUUUUAUACAGGAAUAAACCCCUCUACGUGUAGAGGGCUGAAGGUACUGUAAGAAUAAGCACCGGCUAACUCCGUGCCAGCAGCCGU
rnacentral:rRNA from 1 species